AUUGUCAAGCUCUUCUAGAGAUGACUUUUUCUUUGAAUUCGACAUACGCGAUGGUGCCUUUUUCCGACCUAAAGUAGGCCCAUAUGAGACUAAAAACUCAUCCAUAAUAUCGUUGAAUUGAUUAUCAUUUACCAAAUCAAACACAUCCUUUUGAUCUGGAUCAAUUAAUUCGCGCUCGUCUUUAAUGGGUGUGUACUCUUCUUCUACUUUGUCAAACCUAUCAUCUAAUAAAGUCAAUCCUUCAUUUCGGAAAAGAGCUGAACUACUCAUGGACACGGAAGAAAGGGCAGUUCGAGCUUUACGUUUGGUUUUUGAUUUAGACUUGGAGGAGGACACCAGUUCAGGUACCUCGUCGCGUUCUUCGCUUUCAGGUUCGUCGGAGAAGUCACCGUCACUGCUAGCAACGUCAGGCUGUUUCUUUUGCUCCAGCUUAAACUUUUCAAACUCUAUUUCCCAUUCGGAUUUUCCAGCCUUUGCUGCAGCUGCUUCAUCAUAAUCCUUUUCACCUUCCUCUACGAACGGUUGAGCAUAAAAUUCACUUUCGUCAGCCUUCCCGCUAGCCACCAAUUUCUCAAACUCUUCGUCAAAAUCCGAAGUCUCUUCGUCAUUGAUAUCAGAAUGUUCAAGCUGCUCAAGCACUUCCCUCAAUCUCGGAUCCAUAUCUGGUUGAAAACCAGAUAUAGCAUCG